rnacentral:rRNA from 1 species
GUAGGUGGCAAGCGUUGUCCGGAAUUAUUGGGCGUAAAGCGCGCGCAGGCGGUUCUUUAAGUCUGAUGUGAAAGCCCACGGCUCAACCGUGGAGGGUCAUUGGAAACUGGAGAACUUGAGUACAGAAGAGGAAAGCGGAAUUCCACGUGUAGCGGUGAAAUGCGUAGAGAUGUGGAGGAACACCAGUGGCGAAGGCGGCUUUCUGGUCUGUAACUGACGCUGAGGCGCGAAAGCGUGGGGAGCAAACAGGGAUUAGAUACCCUGGUAGUCCACGCCGUAAACGAUGAGUGCUAAGUGUUAGGGGGGUUUCCGCCCCCCUUAGUGCUGCAGCUAACGCAUUAAGCACUCCGCCUGGGGAGUACGGCCGCAAGGCUG